rnacentral:rRNA from 1 species
UUAAGCUAAGAAGAGCGUAGGGAGAAUGCCUUGGCAUUAGGAGCCGAUGAAGGACGUGAUAAGCUGCGAUAAGCUGCGGGGAUCAGCAAGUAUGAAUUGAUCCGCAGAUUUCCGAAUGGAGCAAUCCGUAUGUGUAUGCACAUACAUCAUAUACUGAAUCAAAUAGGUAUAUGAGGGGAACCGCCUGAACUGAAACAUCUAAGUAGGGCGAGGAAGAGAAAUCAACCGAGAUUCUGUGAGUAGUGGCGAGCGAAAGCGGAAGAGGCUAAACCAUAGGUAGCAAUACUUAUGGGGUUUCGGACAGCAUUUAGCAUUGAUAAUUUCUAGUUGAAACGUGUGGGAAAACGUACCGAAGAGUGUGAGAGUCACGUAAGCGAAAGAGAAAGUCAGCGAGCUGUAUCCAAAGUACCGCGGGACACGUGAAACCCCGUGGGAAGAUGGGGGGACCAUCCUCCAAGCCUAAAUACUACCUAAUGACCGAUAGCGAAUAGUACUGUGAAGGAACGGUGAAAAGAACCCCGGGAGGGGAGUGAAAAAGAACCUGAAACCCUAUGCUUACAAGCACCGAGAGCACGUCAAAGUGUGAUCGGGUACCUUUUGUAGAAUGGUCCGGCGAGUUAUUGUAUGCGGCAAGGUUAAGUGCUUAAGGCACGGAGCCGAAGCGAGAGCAAGUCUGAAUAGGGCGAGUAAGUCGUAUGCAAUAGACCCGAAACCGAGUGACCUAUCCAUGUCCAGGCUGAAGUGGAGGUAAAACUCCAUGGAGGGCCGAACACACGUCCGUUGAAAAGGCCGGUGAUGAGGUGUGGAUAGCGGAGAAAUUCCAAUCGAACUCGGAUAUAGCUGGUUCUCUCCGAAAUAGCUUUAGGGCUAGCCUCGUGAAAGAUUACUGGAGGUAAAGCACUGAAUGGGCUAGGGGUCGAAAGAUUACUGAACCCUAUCAAACUAAGAAUGCCAGAUAAUUGAUUCACGGGAGUCAGACAAUGUGAGAUAAGUCUCAUUGUCAAAAGGGAAACAGCCCAGACCCACAGCUAAGGUCCCUAAACAUUGUUAAGUGGAAAAGGAUGUGGGGUUGCAUAAACAACCAGGAUGUUGGCUUAGAAGCAGCCACUCAUUAAAAGAGUGCGUAAUAGCUCACUGGUCGAGUGACUCUGCGCGGAAAAUAUAACGGGGCUAAGCAUGAAACCGAAGCUUGGGCUUGUACUUAGGUACAGGGGUAGGGGAGCGUCGAGUAUGGGGUGAAGUCAGAGCGGAAGCACUGGUGGACUGUACUGGAGUGAGAAUGCCGGAAUGAGUAGCGAGAAUUAUGUGGGAAUCAUAAUGGCCGAAAAUCUAAGGUUUCUUGGGGAAGGUUCGUCCGCCCAAGGUAAGUCGGGAGCUAAGCUCAGGCCGAGAGGCGUAGGCGAUGCACAUACGGUAGAAAUUCCGUAACCACCGAAACUUAAACAGAGGGACACUUCGAAAUAGCGGAACCCGGGCGUUGGUUGACCCGGGCGAAAGGGACCGAAAUAUAGUAGGGAAGUCCGCGAUGCUCGGAGGCGAGAAAAGCUCAUGUGUAUACUAAGGUGCCCGUACCGCAAACCGACACAGGUAGAUGAGGAGAGAAUCCUAAGGCCAACGGGAGAAGGGUUGUUAAGGAACUCGGCAAAUUGACCCCGUAACUUCGGGAGAAGGGGUGCUCCAGAGAUGGAGCCGCAGAGAAUCGGCCCAAGCAACUGUUUACCAAAAACACAGGUUUGUGCUAAAUCGAAAGAUGACGUAUACGAGCUGACGCCUGCCCGGUGCUGGAAGGUUAAGAGGAGAUGUGCAAGCAUUGAAUCGAAGCCCCAGUGAACGGCGGCCGUAACUAUAACGGUCCUAAGGUAGCGAAAUUCCUUGUCAGGUAAG